GUGAUUGUAGCUCAGUUGGUAGAGCCCUGGAUUGUGAUUCCAGUUGUCGUGGGUUCGAAUCCCAUCAGUCACCC
rnacentral:tRNA from 1 species